rnacentral:rRNA from 1 species
UGCUCAGUAACACAUGAUCAACUUGCCCUAUAGAGAAAAAUAACCUCGGGAAACUGAGGAUAAUGUUUCAUAGCUGAAUUGGCUUGGAAAAGUUUUUCAGUAAAAGGGAUAAAAAAAAUGGUUUUUAUCUGCUAUAGGAUAGGAUCGUGUUCGAUUAUGGUUGUUGGUGAGGUAAUGGCUCACCAAGCCGAUAAUCGAUAGGGGCCGUGAGAGCGGGAGCCCCGAGAUGGGUACUGAGACAACGACCCAGGCCUUACGAGGCGCAGCAGGCGCGAAACCUCCGCAAUACACGAAAGUGUGACGGGGUUACCCAAAGUGUUCAUCAUUGAACUGUGGUAGGUGAGUAAUGUUCCCUACUAGAAAGGAGAGGGCAAGGCUGGUGCCAGCCGCCGCGGUAAAACCAGCUCUUCAAGUGGUCGGGAUAAUUAUUGGGCUUAAAGUGUCCGUAGCCGGUUUAGUAAGUUCCUGGUAAAAUCGGGUAGCUUAACUAUCUAUAUGCUAGGAAUACUACUAUACUAGAGGGCGGGAGAGGUCUGAGGUACUACAGGGGUAGGGGUGAAAUCUUAUAAUCCUUGUAGGACCACCAGUGGCGAAGGCGUCAGACUGGAACGCGCCUGACGGUGAGGGACGAAAGCCAGGGGAGCGAACCGGAUUAGAUACCCGGGUAGUCCUGGCCGUAAACGAUGCAUACUAGGUGAUGGUACGGCCAUGAGCCGUGUCAGUGCCGUAGGGAAACCGUUAAGUGU